rnacentral:rRNA from 1 species
AGUGAACGCUGGCGGUAGGCCUAACACAUGCAAGUCGAACGGCAGCACAGUAAGAGCUUGCUCUUACGGGUGGCGAGUGGCGGACGGGUGAGGAAUACAUCGGAAUCUACUUUUUCGUGGGGGAUAACGUAGGGAAACUUAUGCUAAUACCGCAUACGACCUACGGGUGAAAGCAGGGGAUCUUCGGACCUUGCGCGAUUGAAUGAGCCGAUGUCGGAUUAGCUAGUUGGCGGGGUAAAGGCCCACCAAGGCGACGAUCCGUAGCUGAUCUGAGAGGAUGAUCAGCCACACUGGAACUGAGACACGGUCCAGACUCCUACGGGAGGCAGCAGUGGGGAAUAUUGGACAAUGGGCGCAAGCCUGAUCCAGCCAUACCGCGUGGGUGAAGAAGGCCUUCGGGUUGUAAAGCCCUUUUGUUGGGAAAGAAAAGCAGCAGGUUAAUACCCCGCUGUUCUGACGGUACCCAAAGAAUAAGCACCGGCUAACUUCGUG